rnacentral:rRNA from 1 species
UACGGAGGGGGCGAGCGUUGUCCGAAGUUACUGGGCGUAAAGCGCACGUAGGCGGCUUUGCAAGUCGGGUGUGAAAGCCCGGGGCUCAACCCCGGAAGUGCAUUCGAAACUGCAGAGCUUGAGUCUUGGAGAGGGUGGUGGAAUUCCGAGUGUAGAGGUGAAAUUCGUAGAUAUUCGGAGGAACACCAGUGGCGAAGGCGACCACCUGGACAAAGACUGACGCUGAGGUGCGAAAGCGUGGGAAGCAAACAGG